rnacentral:rRNA from 1 species
UACGUAGGGGGCUAGCGUUGUCCGGAUUUAUUGGGCGUAAAGAGCGUGUAGGCGGCCAGGUAGGUCCGUUGUGAAAACUCGAGGCUCAACCUCGAGCUGUCGGUGGAAACUGUCUGGCUAGAGUCCGGAAGAGGAGAGUGGAAUUCCUGGUGUAGCGGUGAAAUGCGCAGAUAUCAGGAAGAACACCUAUGGCGAAGGCAGCUCUCUGGGACGGUACUGACGCUGAGACGCGAAAGCGUGGGGAGCGAACAGG